UAUUUUUUUAAUGCUUGAUGCAUGGAAAAAUAUAUUUUUAAUUAAAAUAAAAUUAAAACAUUUUUAAUAUAUAAAUGCAGAUCCACUUUCUUCGAUCACCUGACAUCAGCCUCAAUGAAUAAUAUAUUGGCAAGAUAUGGUUGUGCCCGCCCUCGUAGACACCGCCGAGAUGGUAGAAAACAUGGGCAAUAGUUGCAUCUCUGAACAAUCGCCAUUGACUGAUCAAAUUAUUACAUGGGAGGUCUUCAGUGUUAAGAGACGACCCAUCAGCACUGCAUAUUUUAAAAACUAUUAUUUGCAAGCUACAGCUUUUCUUUCUGCUCCAUGUGGAGAACUUGCAGUAUUAUCAUGCUAG
rnacentral:lncRNA from 1 species